CCGGUUUUACCGCCACUUGGUCUCUUCUAUUUCAUUUAUGCCACUGAUCCCUUUUGACAUCUGUGGUUCUCUUCGUUUCUGCUCUGCCGCAAUUAAAUUUACUCUCAUCCCUAGAAUCCAAAACUCCCUCAUACGUCGCUCCUCUCCAUGCCCGUCCCUUGCUUUUCAUCCUGGCCUCUACUGCAAUCACGCCGCUUUCCCUGCUUCCGACAUCGUCCUGUUUAUUGGAACCCAUCUACUAAAAUGUCUAGAUUUCUUAAUGGACUUAAGGAAAAAGAUGGUAACUUGGUUUAUCCAUCCCUCCAAAUUUGAGAUUAUGUAUUGUAUUGAGAUUUUUAGUGUCCAAUCUAAAAAACCCAGCAAAAAUCUUUGCUUUUUGGUAAAAUUUGGUGGUUCGCUGGAAAAGAAUCAAGGGUGCUAGAAAAAGAUUGGUGGUGAGGUUAUAAGAAUAUACAUAUUGUUAAACGUGUAAAAAAAAUUCAUAUUAUGUUUGGAAUUUUGAGCAAUUGGUUGUGUUCAAUUACUAUAUGAAAUUCAGAAAUGCAAUUCGGAAUUUCAAUUGAGGUCGGGAUCUGAUUGUAGAAUUUGGGUCAUGUUUGGUUGUGCUGAAUCGGGUUUGAUGGAGAAUUUUUAAUCAUGAUCAGAAUCAUGGGUUUUGUUUAAAAAUGAAAUUGGAUUCAAUUAUAUAAUACUUUUAGAGAAUGAAAAUCUUAUAUAAUGUUUUUAGAGAAUGAAAACGAGAAAGUGGUGAUGGACACAAAAUAGUUGCCGAUCAAUUAUGCUUCAACCUUGGAAUGUGGGGUACAAACAUUAUGAAAGUGUCAUAAGAGAAGCAC